GGGAGUAGAUUUAGCACGUAAGCGCCAUGGAUGACGAAUCGUGCAUGCUGCUGGCCCGAACCAGCCGUAUCUUUCGAAGAUUUCUACUUCC
rfam:Glossina austeni unplaced genomic scaffold Scaffold3, whole genome shotgun sequence.